rnacentral:rRNA from 1 species
UACAGAGGGUGCAAGCGUUAAUCGGAAUUACUGGGCGUAAAGCGUGCGUAGACGGUUAUGUAAGUCAGAUGUGAAAGCCCCGGGCUCAACCUGGGAAUUGCAUUUGAGACUGCAUAGCUAGGGUGCGGAAGAGGGAAGCGGAAUUUCCGGUGUAGCGGUGAAAUGCGUAGAUAUCGGAAGGAACACCAGUGGCGAAAGCGGCUUCCUGGUCCAGCACCGACGUUCAGGCACGAAAGCGUGGGGAGCGAACGGG